rnacentral:misc_RNA from 1 species
GUGAGUCAUCGAAUCUUUGAACGCACAUUGCGCCUCUCGGUAUUCCGGGAGGCACGCCUGUUCGAGCGCCAUUACAAACUCCAAGCCGUGCUUGAUGUUGGUCCGGUGUGUCUCUUGUGGACGUUUCUUGUCUAUGCAGGUAGAUGAGGGAUGGAGAUGGGAGACACAGGACUGGAACACGUUGGCGCCGGCGCCAGACCCCGAGCGUAGCAAGACGAGAGUCAAGAAAUCGCAUCGGAUUGGAUCUGGCGGACGGCGGCCUUGUUUUUUUUGUUGAUUUGUGUUGUUUGUAUGUCUCAG